rnacentral:rRNA from 1 species
GUUGAACGCUGGCGGCGUGCCUAAUACAUGCAAGUCGAGCGAACAGACGAGGAGCUUGCUCCUUUUACGUUAGCGGCGGACGGGUGAGUAACACGUGGGUAACCUACCUAUAAGACUGGGAUAACUUCGGGAAACCGGAGCUAAUACCGGUUAAUAUUUCGAACCGCAUGGUUCGAUAGUGAAAGCUGGCUCUGCUAUCACUUAUAGAUGGACCUGCGCCGUAUUAGCUAGUUGGUAAGGUAACGGCUUACCAAGGCAACGAUACGUAGCCGACCUGAGAGGGUGAUCGGCCACACUGGAACUGAGACACGGUCCAGACUCCUACGGGAGGCAGCAGUAGGGAAUCUUCCGCAAUGGGCGAAAGCCUGACGGAGCAACGCCGCGUGAGUGAUGAAGGUCUUCGGAUCGUAAAACUCUGUUAUUAGGGAAGAACAAACGUGUAAGUAACUGUGCACGUCUUGACGGUACCUAAUCAGAAAGCCACGGCUAACUACGUG